GCUAGGGCCGAGUGUAUGCUGCAGAGCUGUCUGUUGGCAUAGUAGAGCAUUCCAAAGUUGCUUCAACCUGGAGUGCUAUUUUAAUACCUCCAUCAAGUUGUAAAUUAUCCGAUUCCAAAAGUAGUUUCUCCCUUGUCUUUUCCCAUAAAGUCCCCUCUAUCAGCUGUUCCCUGAUGAUCUCGUUCUGAAGUGUCCCGUAGUUACAAGAGCUAGCCAAAUCCCUCAGAUUAGCCACGUAGCUUUGAAUGGACUCACCUGGGCGUUGGUGUCUUUUCCGUAACCGGUAGCAUCGGAGGAGCACUCGCUCUUUCCUGGCAAAGUGGUUCCGUAGGCUGACUGCAGCGGUGAAUGUAGGAGCCAAUCCAAGCGCUCUGAAAAUCCUGUCUCUCUGUACCGAGGCAGUGAUGGAGCAGUGCUGUCCUCCGCUAGUCGGAGACUGUGGAAAAGUCCAUAGCUUCGAGAUAAGUGUUAAAAUUUCAUGCCAGUUAUUCCACGGGACUGGAGGUUCGCCAGGCAUGUGUUGGAAUGGUGCUGGUGGUGGUGAGCUGAAUUCAGCCAUCUUUGUCGCCAAUGUUAUAUCUACCUUAGCUGUCAAAGAACGCACAUCUGCACAGUUUCACAUUGCAGAUCACUUUCUCGUUUAAUGACAUGUGCCACUCAUCCUGACAACCCAUUAAUCCGUAAAGCAGCACACUGUCGUAAACCAUAACAACCUACAGUACGACAAACAGCACGUCGUACCAUACAUAACACUGGACAUGCAGAUAAAUUAAAGUCAGAUAAAUUAAAAGGAUGUACAGUACAAUGCCAUCUCUUAUAUGCUCCCAUUCAAGUCUGAGUGUGCCUUCAGUGUCCAGGGGCAGUCAAAGAAUCUAUUUCUACAACUUUUUUCGAAAUGAUUUUUCCCCAACCAAAAGCAAUGUUUGAGUGACAAUCAUACAAUAUGCAGGUAUUACACCCCUGUAGUUGGAAAUCAAUCAAUGGAGAUGUUAUGCCACAGGCCUGUCAGGUGGGCCUUAAUCCUGCCAGUGAACACGAGGCCAAGACGUUCUGAGUCACUGUCAACCAGAGGGCUAAUAGUCAAGAUAGAAGAGGACUACUGCAAUUACCUCCACAAAAUAACCCACAACCAUGACCCUGACCUGAAGAACUUGUUAUCCAGCGCUGGGAUCAGUGAAGACCACCUGACCAACGCAGAGACCUCCAGACUAAUCUAUGUUUCGAUCAGUCUUGGGGGCUAGAUGCCGUCAAAGAGGAGAUGAGGAGACAAGGUUGUAAACUAAUGUAUUCAAAGUAUUCAAAUAUUGAAAAUACUCAAAUACACAGACAAGUGUAUUUUCAAAUAUUUAAAUACUUCAUGCAUUUGAAUCCAGGUCUGUUUUGUCUUAGGGGUAUUUGAAAUGUAUUUGGAAACAAGUGACUGAACAUUUCAGGUAGUAUUUAUUGGAAAUUAUUAGAAAAUACUUAAAAUACUUCAAAUAAAAGAUACCCUUUCAAAUACGACAUCAUCCCAGACACACUAGACCCAAUCCAAUUUGCAUACCACGCAUACAACAGAUCCACAGAUGAUGCAAUCUCAAUUGCACUUCACACUGCCCUCUCCCACCUGGAAAAGAGGGGAAAUAACUAUGUGAGAAUGCUGUUCAUAGACUACAGCUCAGCGUUCAACACCAUAGUCCCCUCCAAGCUCAUCCGCCAUGCUGACCCUCAACACAAUCCCCUCAGAGGUAUGUACUUAGUCACCUCCUGUACUCCCUGUUCACCCACGACUGUGUGGCCAGGCACGACUUCAACACCAUCAUCAAGUUUGCUUACGACAUGACGGUGGUAGGACUGAUCGCCGACGGCGAUGAACAGCCUACAGGGAGGAGGUCAGAGACGUAGCAGUGUGGUGCCAGGACAACAACCUCUUCCUCAACAUCAGUAAGACCAAGGAGCUGAUCGUGGACUAUAAGAGAAAGAGGUGAGAGCACGGCCCCAUCCACAUCGAAAAGGCUAUUGUGAAGUCGGUCGCGAGCUUCAAGUCCCUUGGUGUCCACACAGUGGAGGCUGCUGGGUGGAGGACGGCUUAUAAUAAUAGCUAGAACAGAGAAAAUUAAAUGGUAUCAAACACAUUGUGUUGUGUUGUGUAGUGGCUUUCCUGGCAUGCCCCCCCCCCACACACACAAUUUUAUUUUUGUUGCCCUACAAAGAUUUACAAGCUAAAAUCUCCACUGAUCAUAGCAAGUUUGAUUUCUAAAAUGGUUAUUAUUGUAAUUCUGGCUUCUCAAACCAAUGUGGACGUUACUGAGACUCUGAUGUGUCUCUGAAUGGAUAUCAUGUUUAUAGAUCUG
rnacentral:lncRNA from 8 species